rnacentral:rRNA from 1 species
GUGGGGAAUAUUGGACAAUGGGGGGAACCCUGAUCCAGCCAUGCCGCGUGUGUGAAGAAGGCCUUUUGGUUGUAAAGCACUUUAAGCGAGGAGGAGGCUACCGAGAUUAAUACUCUUGGAUAGUGGACGUUACUCGCAGAAUAAGCACCGGCUAACUCUGUGCCAGCAGCCGCGGUAAUACAGAGGGUGCAAGCGUUAAUCGGAUUUACUGGGCGUAAAGCGCGCGUAGGUGGCCAAUUAAGUCAAAUGUGAAAUCCCCGAGCUUAACUUGGGAUUUGCAUUCGAUACUGGUUGGCUCGAGUAUGGGAGAGGAUGGUAGAAUUCCAGGUGUAGCGGUGAAAUGCGUAGAGAUCUGGAGGAAUACCGAUGGCGAAGGCAGCCAUCUGGCCUAAUACUGACACUGAGGUGCGAAAGCAUGGGGAGCAAACAGGAUUAGAAACCCUUGUAGUCC